UUCUACAAACAAGGCUACAAGUGUAAAGCCUGUGGGGUGAACUGCCACAAGGCCUGCCGGAGCCGCCUGGCCGUCGAGUGCCGGAAGAGGACCAAGAGCAUCAGCCACGAGACACCGCCGGCCCUCCAGGCCCGAUCCUACAGCUUCCCUCCGCCUGCCAACACCCCGCCCAGCCUGCAGAACACUGUAAUCGCUGAAGAGGACAUAGAGUCAGUGGAGGAAGGAGUAUUUGAUGUCCACCUAUAACCAGGAGCCUCGAACUGAAGAGCGGUUUUGAUGAACAGGCCAGUGACAGUCUUCAGCUCUCAAUUUUUAGAAUCCCUCCUACGGUUGGUGUGCAAGAGGCCAAAUCAGCGACUGUCAGGAGCCAGACAGAGAAUGUGUUACAGUGUGUCAGUUUUUACAACCCCUCAGCUCUGAGGAGAAAUUGCACUGAACACAAGCCAGGAAAACCUACAUGCUGCCACACAGUGGACACAUACCGCAACCGCACUCCCCCUCCGACCCAACUCACAUGAAUGUGGCGACCGAUGUGAAUGGAAACGUCUUUGUAUGGAUUCCGUGUAAAAUCUUUUGCAGUCUGUGUCAGCAAAGAGUGUUAGUGUAAAAUCUUACUAUAUAUAUAUAAAACAACUAAAUCCACAAAAUUGUAUUUUCUUGGUGGAAUGUUAAAGUCACUGAAGUUGAUAAUUUGAGCACACUUUGCUGCAGGCUGUCUUUUCUUUUGAAACAUAAAAGAGGUGCUGUUAUUGCCAAGAAUGUAAAGCUGCCACCCAGACUAAGCUACGAUCUCCUUUAUCUGAGAAGCUUUUUUUUUUUCUCUCUUUCUUUCUUGUUUUGUUUAUCAUAUUGUCUUGAAAUACAUUUCAGUGGACCAACAAUGGGACCAAUUUUGAUGUCAGAUAAAAUAUUGUUGAUUUGUGGUGCCCGUCUGAAGUGUGAUGACAAAAACGGCCAUUUUGCCAACAAAAGAAACAGCUGAAAUAACCGUGUAGACAGCUAUAAUUAGGAUGGACUCGUAUUUUUUGUCAUGUUUACCUGAAUAUCAGUAACUGUCCUAUAGUUAUUGCUGUGGUGUUGUUUUCAGUAUGCAGUACUGUCUUGUACCAGUGCACUGAUAGAUGACCUAUCCUCUUGCAGUACUGUGAAUGUAGCAGAAACAGUGAAACGCUGCUGUCAGAUGAAGAACUCAUCCUUCCUAAUAAAUAUGUUGACAGCGCGAGAGCGGGAAACUGGCUCGCUUCCCACUGAUUCCUCUGUUAGUUCCUGAAUGAGCUCUGAAGUUUUUGAGACUGUCAUCUCGAAUAGAAUAAUCAAAAGAAUCACACCAAAACCGGAGUAAUGAGGCUUUUCAUUUGACAGCAGCUUAUAAAAACAUUUCCCUUUGAAUCUAUUUUAAUGUAAGAUGUGUUUUUUGCUGCCUUUAUCCUGCAUGCUUCGUCCUUCACGGCUGUAUUCUCUGGCCAGACAUCUCUGUUGCUUUUUUUUUUAUUUUUUAUGUAGCACGCCAAAUUAUCAUUUAUUUAGGAAACAUGUCUUGGAAUUCCAGACAGAGGAAAUGUUCCUGUUUUUUUGUGCCUGUUGAGAGAUGAAUUCAGACUUGCUGUGCCAUAUUGCUAACUGCUGGUUUGUCAUUGAAUGAGACUCCUCCCACUGCUGGUAUUUAUUUUUCCUGUAUAAAUACAUAAAUGGAUGCUGGUCCUUCUGUUUCACGCCUCGCCUGACGCAGGAUGUUUGUUGUUAUGCAGAAUGAUGUCAUGCUAUUUCUUGUUCCCAGAUGAUUCCUCAGUAUUAAAUGCAGCAGGCAUCUUUCUAUAAUGUGGUCUGAUUAAAAAAUUACGUGACUAAUAAGAGUGAAACUGAAAAAAAAAA